rnacentral:rRNA from 1 species
CACGUAGGGCGCAAGCGUUGUCCGGAAUUACUGGGCGUAAAGGCUCGUAGGCGGCCAACUAAGUCGGACGUGAAAUCCCUCGGCUCAACCGGGGAACUGCGUCCGAUACUGGAUGGCUUGAAUCCGGGAGAGGGAUGCGGAAUUCCAGGUGUGAGCGGUGAAAUGACGUAGAUAUACUGGAGGAACACCGGUGGCGAAGGC